AGGGAAGAAGGGAAGGAAGGAAGGAAGAGGGGAAGGAGGGGGAGGAGGGAGGAAUGAAGAGAGAGAGGAAGGCAGUGAAGGAGGGGAGAGAGGAAGGAAGGGAGAAAGGAAAGAAGGAAGGAAGGAAAAAAGGAAGGGAAAGAGGAAGGGAUAGAGGAAGGAAAGAAGGAAGGAAGGAAGGAAGGGCAAUUGGUACUAACUUCUUGUAGUGCCCAGGCACUCUUCCCCUAGUGGGCAGGGCAGAGAGACUGUGAAAGGUGGAGAUGAAGGAGAGUCAUCAUUUCACUCUUGAGAAAGGACGGAGCAGUCUGUGUGGAAGAGAUGAGAUCUGGGAUAAAUUGGAAAAGGUGUCAAAAAAUUAGGAGGGAAGAAAUAUUUCCAGCAAGUCUGCUACCACACUCCUCAAAUUCAACUAAGAGUGGUGAUUUAAUCUGCAGGCCCCGACUGGACGGCUUUGGCUAAGGAACCAACGCAGGUGGAGAAGGAGGCUGACGAUGGAGCCCAGGCACUCCAGCCUUGAAGGAGGAGAACCCGACCCAGAACGAGAAACACAGCAGAGAGGGAAUGGUCAACCCCAGAGCACUGGCCACUUUGGGAAAAUGGACAUCUCCUCUCCUCUGGCUGAAGGAAAGUAAGAAGACAUGGUGUUGCCCCAGGCUGUGUAGCCCACAACAAUUUUCCAUCCAAAUGCAUGAGCCCGGGUUCCCGAUGAAGACUUGGCUUCUCCUGAGCCCGGGGGUCCUGGCUGCUCUGGUGCCAACCCCUGGGUGUCUUCGAGCUGCAGAGGGCUUGCCACGUGCAUCCUCCUCCCUCUGCUUGAGCCACGGAGACCAGGCUGGACUAUGUUCCACAAAGACUUUUUCCCCUCAGGGGUCUCCUCCCAACAACACUUAACCAAGCUUUGUAUUCAACAAGGAACACAUUCCGCCUCCACCAAACCUCAUUGAAAACACAGAGGUGCAUGGAUAACCAUGGCCAAAUCAUAACUGGUAUGCGUGCUCAUGGUUUUCUUUGAAACUCUGUCUUUUAAAAAUCUUUCCCACAUGAAGAGCCACAAUAAAUGACAAAUACAAAUUUUAAGUUUAUAAGGAAAGUAUGCUAGUAAGUGUAAGCAAAUUAAAAGGAUGUCCCAUAGGGUGGUAACAACUGAUUCAGUGUUGUCAAAUGUUUUGGAUCCCCGUCGGUGGUAGGAAACAUACUUUGUGGCCUGCCUCAGUAGACUCAUGCAUAUGCACAAAGAUGAGUGAGGUGAAGCUCAUCUUUACUGUGACACACUUCAUUACAUCCUGUUCUGUUGAAAAGGAAUGGAUUGCUGUCAGGAUUCUGUCCC
rnacentral:lncRNA from 1 species